CACAGCGAGGGGGGAAUGUUUAUUGAUCUUAGUCACACACGUAUUGUAAAGAGGAACUUUGGUACAAGCCUUUUGCACGCUAUGGGAAUCUGGGGAAGUCACAGCAUUGCAAACAGUGCCUGGCUGCUUCCACGCACAGGCUUGUUAACAGUAACCUAGUGAAACCAUAGACUAGAGGAAAGGACACCGGUUCACCAGACAGACAGAAAUAAACUAGACUGAUUAAGCAGAUAACUAUUAUGUAGCUAUUUUAAAAUGGUCACUGUUUUAUGUAACAAUGGAGCCGGAGAAGAAGGCUGACGUUUUACGCGUCCCCAACCGAUUGUGUUUUUUUGUUCGUUUAUAACUUAUUUUUAAACUUAUUUUGUACAUAAUGUUGCCGCUACCGUCUCUUGUGACCGAAAAUAAUUUCUGAACAUCAGGACUGCGAUUACUCACCAGAAUCCUUUUUUCCCUUUAAGGAGUCUGAGGAGCCCGACGCGAAUUAUUUUCUGCUUUCUCGGGAACAAGCCCAGAUACCCGUGAUUUGUGUGAAGAGGUGGCUGAGACAAAGUGGCCAGAGGGCGGGCUGCCUCCUGAGAAUUCGUAGGCGAUCGAAUAAACCCCCACUUCCUUCCAUUCUGUUAGCAAACAUGCAAUCUUUGUAGAAUAAAAUCGAAGACCAAAGCGGAAGAUUAAACUACCAACGGGACAUUUAAAACUGUAAUAUCUUAUGCUCAACAGAGUCGUGGCUAAACGACGAUACAUUCAACAUACAGCUGGCUGGUUAUAAACUCUACCGGCAGGACAAAACAGCGGCAUCUGCAGGUGCAAGUGCAACUCACCAGUGUGGGAUGGUGAACGGCAGGAAGGAAGAGUGCCGGAAGAUCUCCAGGAUGAAGGCUUCCAGCAGAGAUCAUUGACAAUGCCCACAAUCUUCUCAUCAGACACCUGGACGUUGGCGUUCUCAUCUAGUUUCCUGUCCUCACAGUGGUCAAUGAGGGAGUCAGUGAUGUCACGGAUGUUGUCCUGAAAACAGAACAAUGGACAAUCAGUAUCACAGACAACAAACAGCAAUAGAUCAAACAUUUUUUUGAAACAUGAUGCAAUGUAUUAUUUACCUUGUCAUAGCUGUCAUAGUGCUCACUGACAAUCUUCUGCACAAAGGUGUUGAAACGGUCAUUGAUAUCCAUAAACCUCUUCAUGGUGCGGUUGGGCAGGUAACGAAGGAUGGGAAUGAAGUCUGCAGGGUUGCCGCUGCCCACCACCUGCCCAAACUCAUCACUCAUGUUCACCAAGCCCAACAGCUCCUGGUCAUCAUGGCUGUAGCGCCGGCCGAAGCACAUUCCACAGAUGACGUUGGCCACCGAUACAACAAUAUGGCGGAAGGGGUCAAAGCUGCCACUGACAUCCAUGACGGAAGUCAGCUGUUUUACCAGGUACUCUCCCUCCUUGCAGACGUGCUCCUCCAGGGCACAGGAGUACUCUGGGGUCGAUCCCUCCAGGGUGGCGAAAGAGCGGAGGGCGCUCAUAGCUAGCUUGCGGCGGGCGCGCCACACCCCAGCCUUGUCGGUGCUAAAGGCCAAGCUCUUGCCGUCGUUGAUGAAUUUGAAGCUGUAUAGAUCGGGCCUCCCGGCGAAGUCUUCCCCUUGCUUGAUAAGAGCCUGGCGGACUGUCUCAUUGCCACUAAGAACAACCACAGGCCGCAUCCCUAUUUGGAUCUGGAAGACUGAGCCGUAGCGCUCGCUCAUGGCAGUCAGGCUGAGGUGAGGGUUAUUGUGCACCUCCAGCACAUUCCCGAUGAUGGGCAGGGGCUUUGGUCCGGGGAGCCGUUUCAGUCCCUCUGGGAUCUCUGUGUGCAUGUACUUCAUGAUCAUGUACACCAGGCAUAGUGUUACCAUGGCCACCAGCCCCUCAGACACAGAGACUGAGCCGAUAAUGGGUAGUAUCAUGAGAACCAUUUGUAUGUUUUAUUUGUGGCUUGUGCACAAUCUGUAAAGAGAGGUAAAUGUUUUAGUGAUUAAUAGUGAGCGAGAAAAAUACUCCAGCUGAGUAAUAAACAUUGCUCGAAAACAUUGUUCGAAAAUUGCAUGAAUUUUACGCAUGGUGCACUCACACCUUUCACGCUUUUGCAAACCUCCUUACUCUACCAGUCUCGUACCAUUAAACAUAGGCUACAUAAAAGGCUGUAUAGUGUUUAAAAAAAUGAAGACCUUAACUGUUAUAUUGCCUACACGUACGUACAUUUUUUUCGAAUAGAUUAUACGAAAAAGAAGACUCAAGAAUAAACGGUACAAGAUAACAGUAUAUAAUGCGUGUUGGAGCUUGCUAUAUUGAAAAAACAAUGAAAAAAACUGUACUAAUAUUAUGUGCAAACGAAUUAAUAAAUGUUAUUUCGACACUUCAUUCACAACAAAAAGACACCUGCUAUUCCAACAUAUGUUUCCUUGUUCCUUAUUAAAUGUAAAUAUAUUACAUGCAGAAUUAGUCAUUUUUAUUACCUUCCGUUAUGAGCCAAAUGAGCCGACUUGCAGGGAGAUCGAAGAAGUUUGCAGGUGAUGUUAUAUUUAUACAAAGCUUUUUCUCUUGCUAUUAAGAUAACUCCGUUUCUCUGUACUUAAAAGUAAGAAUGGGAACUUCUUUUAUAGAGCGCUUCUCAGCUCCAUUGGCUGAUGUCUGAGUGACGUACCCUCUCUCGCUCUCUCUUGGCUUGCCAGCAGCAGCGGCUGCCUCUGAAGGAGAGGUGUAAUAAAAUAUCAAGCGGAAACAUCAAUGAGUAGUGUAUAUACAAUGUAAGCUUGCCUUUAUAAUAAAAAGAAACGUCUAAGGAGUAAGACAUUUUUUUUCUAAGAGUGCAUGCUUUCACUGAUAUAUCAUUGAUGGGCCCUAUUGAAAAAAUAUAUACAUACAAUUU